CACGCAUGGGACACUUCUUUGCGAGGGGACGUAUCAUCCCCUUGCGAAAGUAACCGAUGGGGAGGAUAAAGCUAUACACAGAUGUCACAAACAAUACUAAAAGUUACGAAAAUGCAAAUCAGAAGCGGAGAAAAUGAUAACGGGGAAAGAGAGAAAUAAACAUGUGGUACAAUGUCUCGAGCGAAAAAAGAGGAAAUGUAUUUAUUCUGCAAAACUGAAGAAAUAAAAUUAUAAGUGUAAGAACUUGAUAUUGCAACAUGAAACAAAAUUGUGGAAGACGCACAUUUGUUAGGAAUGAUAGUUAAAUAUGUGAAUUAAAGAGACAAAAGUUGUAUUACUUUUAACAAAAGAAGGGCUACGAAAACCACAGCGCGGAUGUCAUAGUGCAAAAUAAUAAUUUUUUUAUUAUCCAAAAAUACAAAAUAAUACAACAUUUUGCUUUAAUUUCACAAUCAGAGGGACAUCAGCUAUUUGAACAUAAGUUUCUGCAAAAUGCAAAGCACAAAAGUUUUUGUCGCAUAUCGCUGCGUCAAUUUUUUACCAAAAACAUUAUAAUGUAAAAA